AGGAUGAAGCAUGCUCAGUGCAAAAAGCUUCGCUCCCCUGCCUGUCAAGCCUGAGGUUUGAACUCGUUCCAGAAUGCCGGAUUUACUUUUCAGGAAGAAACAGCACCUGGCUGGGCUGCGCUUUUCCCUUCCCUCCUCCUCCUCGGAGUGCAAAUAAUGUUCUUUUGAUGCUUUCCUGCCAGUGGGAAUCUCGCCCUGGAGAAGGAGACAAAACUUUGCUACCUGUGAAAUGAAGACUGCUUAGGUAGCAGUGGAAAUGAAAGCAAUUCUAUUUCCCACACAGGCUCCACAAAUGACUAACUUCAGUGGGAAUUGCUCAUGAAAAAGAGAAAGGAUCACCUGGAUUCUUCUGGAGCUGGGAGCCAGG